ensembl:snRNA U6 U6 spliceosomal RNA
GUGUUCGCUUCGGCAGCUCAUAUACUAAAAUUGGAACAAUACAGAAAAAAUUAGCAUGGCCCCUAUUCAAGUAUGACACAUGAAUUCAUGAAGCAUUCCAUAUUUAA